UACGGGGGGGGCAAGCGUUGUUCGGAAUUACUGGGCGUAAAGGCUCGUAGGCGGCCAACUAAGUCAGACGUGAAAUCCCUCGGCUUAACCGGGGAACUGCAUCUGAUACUGGAUGGCUUGAGUUCGGGAGAGGGAUGCGGAAUUCCCAGUGUAGAGGUGAAAUUCGUAGAUAUUGGGAAGAACACCGAUGGCGAAGGACAGCCAUCUGGACCGACACUGACGCUGAGGCGCGAAAGCGUGGGGAGCAACAGG
rnacentral:rRNA from 1 species